rnacentral:rRNA from 1 species
GGAAAGGCGCGCGAUACAGGGUGACAGCCCCGUACACAAAAAUGCACAUGCUGUGAGCUCGAUGAGUAGGGCGGGACACGUGGUAUCCUGUCUGAAUAUGGGGGGACCAUCCUCCAAGGCUAAAUACUCCUGACUGACCGAUAGUGAACCAGUACCGUGAGGGAAAGGCGAAAAGAACCCCGGCGAGGGGAGUGAAAAAGAACCUGAAACCGUGUACGUACAAGCAGUGGGAGCACGCUUAGGCGUGUGACUGCGUACCUUUUGUAUAAUGGGUCAGCGACUUAUAUUCUGUAGCAAGGUUAACCGAAUAGGGGAGCCGAAGGGAAACCGAGUCUUAACUGGGCGUUAAGUUGCAGGGUAUAGACCCGAAACCCGGUGAUCUAGCCAUGGGCAGGUUGAAGGUUGGGUAACACUAACUGGAGGACCGAACCGACUAAUGUUGAAAAAUUAGCGGAUGACUUGUGGCUGGGGGUGAAAGGCCAAUCAAACCGGGAGAUAGCUGGUUCUCCCCGAAAGCUAUUUAGGUAGCGCCUCGUGAAUUCAUCUCCGGGGGUAGAGCACUGUUUCGGCAAGGGGGUCAUCCCGACUUACCAACCCGAUGCAAACUGCGAAUACCGGAGAAUGUUAUCACGGGAGACACACGGCGGGUGCUAACGUCCGUCGUGAAGAGGGAAACAACCCAGACCGCCAGCUAAGGUCCCAAAGUCAUGGUUAAGUGGGAAACGAUGUGGGAAGGCCCAGACAGCCAGGAUGUUGGCUUAGAAGCAGCCAUCAUUUAAAGAAAGCGUAAUAGCUCACUGGUCGAGUCGGCCUGCGCGGAAGAUGUAACGGGGCUAAACCAUGCACCGAAGCUGCGGCAGCGACGCUGAUGCGUUGUUGGGUAGGGGAGCGUUCUGUAAGCCUGCGAAGGU